AACAAUAAGACUAUCAACAAUAAAGCAUAAUAAUUAUUUGAUUAAAAUUUAAAAAUGUCAAAUAAAUUUGUAAUUGCUUUGUUGUUGGUAGUUGUGUACCUUGUAACUGUUCAAGGUCAGAAUAUUACCUAUAAUGCAGACUCAGGUGAAGUCGGCGUGUCUCAUGAAGACUGCUACAAUUAUUGUACCAAUGAUAGUAAAUUGCCCGCAUGGCUUAUAAAUUGGUUGUGUGAAUGGCUUUGUCAUAUGUUCAAUCAUGUCCGAAUCUUCUGAUGGUUUUGGAUCAAGGAAGAAAUUGUCAAAUUGGAGCUUCUGCAGUUUUGGGAAUUAGCGUAUUUUUGGAGAAGUUUGAUGACUAUUUUGACGGAGUAACUUGAAACGAGGCUAAUUAAUUGUCUUUUAGCCUUAUUUAUUCUUGGAGGACACAUGGAGGCUUGGGAAGGGCGAAAGAAAUUUGGAGUUUCUUCACCUAUAAAACUUCUCAAAUUUGUGAGUGUGCAUGAGAUUGAGGAACGGCAGGCUAACCAGAUAUUAUGUUAGAAAACCAGUAAGGAGAAACACCGUAAGAAUGGUUAAUCCUAGGAACAACAAUCCAAAUGGAGAACAACCUUAUAACACAACAAAGGAAGGCACAGUCACUGCAACUUUGACUACAGCAAUCGUAUCUACGACAAGCACAACUGUCAUGUCGUCGAAUACACAAAGUGGGCCAACGAAUGCCCAACCGAUAUGACAGAGUCACCCUAUGAAUCCUAGACCAUUUGGGAAUAUUCCUUAUGCGCCUCAUAUGCCCAGUUUCACAAUGCUCAUGAACAUCCAUAUGGCAUGACUUUUUCAAUGAUGGCAAGUUUGCAUAACAAUGCAUCAAUAUUUGAUGAAAAUACAACAUUUUCAUUUUCGCCA